rnacentral:rRNA from 1 species
GGACCCGCACAAGCGGUGGAUGAUGUGGUUUAAUUCGAUGCAACGCGAAAAACCUUACCCACCUUUGACAUGUACGGAAGUUACCAGAGAUGGUUUCGUGCUCGAAAGAGAACCGUAACACAGGUGCUGCAUGGCUGUCGUCAGCUCGUGUCGUGAGAUGUUGGGUUAAGUCCCGCAACGAGCGCAACCCUUGUCAUUAGUUGCUACAUUUAGUUGGGCACUCUAAUGAGACUGCCGGUGACAAGCCGGAGGAAGGUGGGGAUGACGUCAAGUCCUCAUGGCCCUUAUAGGUGGGGCUACACACGUCAUACAAUGGCUGGUACAAAGGGUUGCCAACCCGCGAGGGGGAGCUAAUCCCACAAAGCCAGUCGUAGUCCGGAUCGUAGUCUGCAACUCGACUACGUGAAGUCGGAAUCGCUAGUAAUCGUGGAUCAGAAUGUCACGGUGAAUACGUUCCCGGGUCUUGUACACACCGCCCGUCACACCAUGGGAGCGGGUUCUGCCAGAAGUAGUUAGCCUAACCGCAAGGAGGGCGAUUACCACGGCAGGGUUCGUGACUGGGGUGAAGUCGUAACAAGGUAGCCGUAUCGGAAGGUGCGGCU